AGCGUUUGGUUUACAACUUCUCAUUUCAUGGUGGUGUCAAAGCAAUAUGAACUCAGAAGUAACUGCACCUGAAUUUCGACUUUUCCUGGGCCAGUGCCUGGGUGCAAGCCUCUUGGAUUGGGGGGGCACCCACACACGCAGCAUGCAGUGUGGCUAAUCUGCAACAUCCCAGAGGUUCCAAGGACGCAUGUUCUUGUCCUCAAAGUCAGGCAGCCACCCACCUGCAGGAUGGCGAGUUGAAUGCAGGGGCCGAGGGCAUCGGGCUCUGGAAAAAGUGAGCCAGGGGCACCCAGUCAGCCUGGACGUCACAUGCCAACCUCCGCCUUCCGACCCAGCCCUUUUUCCACUGGAAGGGACCUGAGCCUGGUGCAGACUGGCCUUGGACCCUGGGAGCUACGGGGCAGAGGGGAGCAAGCCCAAGGACCGGGUGGAAGAUGAGCAGGAGGAACCAGGAUAGAUGGUUACAGCUGGGUAGCAGGAAGGACUUACAGACGUGGGGGAUGCGCUGGCUCCAAGUGACCUGGAGGGAAAGGGCUGGGGCUGGAAGGGAGUCAUUGACGGUCUCCCAUAAUUACACAAGUGAACGGGACUUUUUAAAAAUAAAGUAGAGGACUUAAAAACCCAUCAGAGGGGCCUGGGAUUUAGCUCAGUGGCACUGUGCCUGGCUGGAAAGUGCAAGAUCCUGAGUUCCAUCCCUGUUACUGAAAAACAACAACAAACAAAACAAAACAAAAAAACCCCAUCACAGCUGGACAUAGUGGUGGGAGCACUCUGGGAGGCUGAGGCAGGAGGAUUGCAAGUUCAAGUCUAGCCUGGGCAACCUAGUGACUUAACUAGACUGUCUCAAAAUAAAAAAUAAAAAAGGGCUGAGGAUGUAGCUCAUUGCGAAGGCCCCAGCUUCAGUCCCCACUAUGGGGCAUAGAACCACC
rnacentral:lncRNA from 1 species